UUCCUUUGGUAUAAAUCAUAGGUAUGCCCUGCCCCAUGAAAUUCUUUAAAUGGCCGCAUUUGUGCUAAGGUAGCAAAAUCAAUUGCCACUUAAUUGGUGGCUAGUAUGAAUGGGUUCACAAAAAGGCCCCUGUCUCCAACUAAACCCUAAAAACUAACCUUCAAGUGAAAAGGCUUGAAUCCCUAUAAAAGACAAAAAGACCCUGUCGCGCUUAAAGAUAACCAUAUAAAAUAUAUAUGUCCUCUUUUAGUUGGGACGACUUCUGAUUAAAUAAAACACCAGAUCUUCGCUAAGAAUUUAUCUUCAAAUUUCUGACCCUAAUAAGAUCAAAUAAUUAGCAACCGCAG
rnacentral:rRNA from 1 species